rnacentral:rRNA from 2 species
GCAAGUCUGAUGGAGCAACGCCGCGUGAGUGAAGAAGGCUUUCGGGUCGUAAAACUCUGUUGUUGGAGAAGAAUGGUCGGCAGAGUAACUGUUGUCGGCGUGACGGUAUCCAACCAGAAAGCCACGGCUAACUACGUGCCAGCAGCCGCGGUAAUACGUAGGUGGCAAGCGUUAUCCGGAUUUAUUGGGCGUAAAGCGAGCGCAGGCGGUUUUUUAAGUCUGAUGUGAAAGCCCUCGGCUUAACCGAGGAAGUGCAUCGGAAACUGGGAAACUUGAGUGCAGAAGAGGACAGUGGAACUCCAUGUGUAGCGGUGAAAUGCGUAGAUAUAUGGAAGAACACCAGUGGCGAAGGCGGCUGUCUGGUCUGUAACUGACGCUGAGGCUCGAAAGCAUGGGUAGCGAACAGGAUUAGAUACCCUGGUAGUCCAUGCCGUAAACGAUGAAUGCUAGGUGUUGGAGGGUUUCCGCCCUUCAGUGCCGCAGCUAACGCAUUAAGCAUUCCGCCUGGGGAGUACGACCGCAAGGUUGAAACUCAAAGGAAUUGACGGGGGCCCGCACAAGCGGUGGAGCAUGUGGUUUAAUUCGAGGCCACGCGAAGAACCUUACCA